rnacentral:rRNA from 1 species
CCCUAGUAACGGCGAGUGAAGCGGGAAGAGCUCAAAUUUGAAAUCUGGCGGUCUACGGCCGUCCGAGUUGUAAUCUAGAGAGGUGUUUUCCGUGCCGGACCGUGUACAAGUCCCUUGGAACAGGGCGUCAUAGAGGGUGAGAAUCCCGUCCAUGACACGGACUACCGGUGCUCUGUGAUACACCUUCAAAGAGUCGAGUUGUUUGGGAAUGCAGCUCAAAAUGGGUGGUAAAUUCCAUCUAAAGCUAAAUACAGGCGAGAGACCGAUAGCGAACAAGUACCGUGAGGGAAAGAUGAAAAGAACUUUGGAAAGAGAGUUAAACAGUACGUGAAAUUGUUGAAAGGGAAACGCUUGAAGUCAGUCGCGUCUGCCAGGACUCAGCCUUGCUUCUGCAUGGUGCAUUUCCUGGUGGAUGGGCCAGCAUCGAUUUUGGUCGCCGGACAAGGGCGGGAGGAAUGUGGCAGCUUGCUGUGUUAUAGCCUCCCGUCGUACACGGUGGUUGGGAUCGAGGACUGCAGCACGCCUUUGGUCGGGGUUCGCCCACGCCACGUGCUUAGGAUGCUGGCGUAAUGGCUUUAAACGACCCGUCUUGAAACACGGACCAAGGAGUCUAACAUGCCUGCGAGUGUUUGGGCGUUAAACCCAGGCGCGUAAUGAAAGUGAAAAGUUGGGACUCUUUAGUGAGGCACCGACGCCCGAUCCUGACGUUCUCUGACGGAUUUGAGGUAGAGCAUGUAUGUUGGGACCCGAAAGAUGGUGAACUAUGCCUGAAUAGGGUGAAGCCAGAGGAAACUCUGGUGGAGGCUCGUAGCGAUUCUGACGUGCAAAUCGAUCGUCAAAUUUGGGUAUAGGGGCGAAAGACU